UCAAGCGAACAAGGGCGCAGGGCGAAUGCCUUGGCACUGGGAGCCGAUGAAAGACGUGAUAAGCUGCGAUAAGCUUCGGGGAGCUGCAAAUAAGCAUUGAUCCGGAGAUUUCUGAAUGAGGAAACUCACCUGGGUUCAUACUCAGGUACGUUGUACUGAAAUUCAAAAUAGGUACAUCGGGGGAACCGCCUGAACUGAAACAUCUAAGUAGGGCGAGGAAGAGACAUCAAACGAGAUUCCGUAAGUAGUGGCGAGCGAACGCGGAAGAGGGCAAACCGAGAGUAGAAAUACUUUCGGGGUACGGAGCGCAUUUAGGACUUAAGUUGUUAACCGAACGGCAUGGGAAGGCCGGUCAGAGAGUGUGAGAACCACGUAGGUGAAAACGACAAGAGCCGAGCAAGUUCCAGAGUACGGCCAGACACGUGAAACCUGGUCGGAAGAUGGGGGGACCACCCUCCAACCCUAAAUACUACCCAGUGACCGAUAGCGUAUAGUACUGUGAAGGAAAGGUGAAAAGCACCCCGGGAGGGGAGUGAAAAAGAACCUGAAACCCUGUGCCUACAAGCACCUAGAGCACGUCAAUGUGUGAUAGGGUACUUUUUGUAGAACGGUCCGGCGAGCGAUUGUAUGCAGCAAGGUUAAGGACUUAAGGUCUGGAGCCGAAGCGAAAGCGAGUUUGAAAAGGGCGUUAAGUUGCAUAUAAUGGGCCCGAAACCGGGUGACCUACCCAUGGUCAGGUUGAAGUGGAAGUAAAAUUCCAUGGAGGACCGAACCGACCUCCGUUGAAAAGGCGGCGGAUGAACUGUGGGUAGCGGAGAAAUUCCAAUCGAACCCGGAGAUAGCUGGUUCUCCCCGAAAUAGUUUUAGGACUAGCCUCAAGUUAGAUACCUGGAGGUAAAGCACUGAAUAGCCUAGCGGCCGAGAGGUUAGCGAAGCUUAUCAAACUCAGAAUGCCAGAGUAUUGAUGCUUGGGAGUCAGACAGUGUCAGAUAAAUGUCAUUGUCAAAAGGGAAACAGCCCAGAUCUACAGCUAAGGUCCCAAAGUCAGGUUAAGUGGAAAACGAUGUGAAGAUACGCAGACAACCAGGAUGUUGGCUCAGAAGCAGCCACUCAUUCAAAGAGUGCGUAAUAGCUCACUGGUCGAGCGUCUUUGCGCGGAGAAUUUAACGGGGCUAAACCUGACACCGAAGCUUAGGCAAUACAGCAAUGUAUUGGGUAGGGGAGCGUUGUAUACGCGGUGAAACAGUAGCGCAAGCGGCUGUGGAGUGUAUAGAAGUGAGAAUGCCGGAAUGAGUAGCGCGAAUGCAGUGAGAAUCUGCAUGGCCGAAAGCCUCAGGUUUCUGGAGGAAGGUUCGUCCGCUCCAGGUUAGUCGGGAGCUAAGGUGAGGCCUAACGGCGUAGCCGAUGCACAGACGGUAGAGAUUCCGUCACCACCAAAAGAGUUAAACACAGGGACACAUAUGAAGUCUCGGAGCCGGGUGUUGGUUCCGGUAGCGAUCGAGGGAAGUUAGUACCGAAGUCCGGGAUGGAAGAUGGCGAGAAAAGCUGUGUGUAUUUCUGCGGUGCCCGUACCGCAAACCGACACAGGUAGGUAGGAAGAAGAUUCUAAGGCCAACGGGAGAAGGGUUGUUAAGGAACUCGGCAAAUUGACCCCGUAACUUCGGGAGAAGGGGUGCUCCAGAGAUGGAGCCGCAGAGAAUCGGCCCAAGCAACUGUUUACCAAAAACACAGGUUUGUGCUAAAUCGAAAGAUGACGUAUACGAGCUGACGCCUGCCCGGUGCUGGAAGGUUAAGAGGAGAUGUGCAAGCAUUGAAUCGAAGCCCCAGUGAACGGCGGCCGUAACUAUAACGGUCCUAAGGUAGCGAAAUUCCUUGUCAGGUAAGUUCUGACCCG
rnacentral:rRNA from 1 species